rnacentral:rRNA from 1 species
AUGUUGGUUUUGGAAUGCACAUCCGUUGCGAAGCAACGUUGGGUUGCAUAUAAGGAGACGGUGGCCAAAUCACUAGACAAGGCUCUUGAGUUAUUUGCAACGAAGAAGGUUGAUUCAAGGUUGCAUUUGGACUUGAACCGGAGCCCUUCCCCUUUGGUUGCUAGUAUCCCCCCACCCUUGAAGCGAGAUGAAAUUGUUGAACCUCUUUUGACCCAAGAAGUGAGGCCAAUAUUGAGCCCGUUUACAAGCAACCAACAUGAAGCUUUGCAAGAGGAGAAUGAUGAGUAUGCGGACGAUGACAAUGAAGUUGAUCUCCAUGACAACAAUGUGGGUGAUCUCGACAAAUAUCAUUUGCAAGAGACAAUGGACCAUUCCAUCCCUUUUUCUCGUGCAUAUGCAUCGGACUCGGAUGAUGAUGGUCCCGACGAACAAGUUGAUGCGGAGGGGUUCACGGUGAAGGAGGCUGAAGCUUUCGAGAAGGUAUUCGGUCGUGAUCAUCCUAACAAUUCAAAAAAAAAACUUUCUUGUCAAUGCAGUUAUCUUUCGAAUACAAAUAAACUAAACUACAUUUACUAG